rnacentral:rRNA from 1 species
UGGGGAAUAUUGGACAAUGGGCGAAAGCCUGAUCCAGCCAUGCCGCGUGUGUGAAGAAGGUCUUCGGAUUGUAAAGCACUUUAAGUUGGGAGGAAGGGCAUUAACCUAAUACGUUAGUGUUUUGACGUUACCGACAGAAUAAGCACCGGCUAACUCUGUGCCAGCAGCCGCGGUAAUACAGAGGGUGCAAGCGUUAAUCGGAAUUACUGGGCGUAAAGCGCGCGUAGGUGGUUUGUUAAGUUGGAUGUGAAAUCCCCGGGCUCAACCUGGGAACGGCAUUCAAAACUGACUGACUAGAGUAUGGUAGAGGGUGGUGGAAUUUCCUGUGUAGCGGUGAAAUGCGUAGAUAUAGGAAGGAACACCAGUGGCGAAGGCGACCACCUGGACUAAUACUGACACUGAGGUGCGAAAGCGUGGGGGGCAAACA